rnacentral:ncRNA from 1 species
AUCUCCUACUCCAUUUCCAUAGGGGAGGGUGAGCGGUAAAAAAGGAGGAAAUCCGCCGGACCGGCGGUGCGGCAGUGUGGAGACCUGCCGUAACGUCCCUGGAGUUUUGCUCUCCAUGGACGAGGGAGUGCUUGCGGAGGCAUCGCUCCUACGGUCCUCAACCUAUGGCA